AUAACACGCAAUCAAUACAACUUUCAACAACGGAUCUCUUGGCUCUCGCAUCGAUGAAGAACGCAGCGAAAUGCGAUACGUAAUGUGAAUUGCAGAAUUCAGUGAAUCAUCGAAUCUUUGAACGCACCUUGCGCCCCUUGGUAUUCCG
rnacentral:rRNA from 1 species